AGUGAACGCUGGCGGUAGGCCUAACACAUGCAAGUCGAACGGCAGCACAGUAAGAGCUUGCUCUUACGGGUGGCGAGUGGCGGACGGGUGAGGAAUACAUCGGAAUCUACUUUUUCGUGGGGGAUAACGUAGGGAAACUUACGCUAAUACCGCAUACGACCUACGGGUGAAAGCAGGGGAUCUUCGGACCUUGCGCGAUUGAAUGAGCCGAUGUCGGAUUAGCUAGUUGGCGGGGUAAAGGCCCACCAAGGCGACGAUCCGUAGCUGGUCUGAGAGGAUGAUCAGCCACACUGGAACUGAGACACGGUCCAGACUCCUACGGGAGGCAGCAGUGGGGAAUAUUGGACAAUGGGCGCAAGCCUGAUCCAACCAUACCGCGUGGGUGAAGAAGGCCUUCGGGUUGUAAAGCCCUUCUGUUGGGAAAGAAAAGCAGCAGGUUAAUACCCCGCUGUUCUGACGGUACCCAAAGAAUAAGCACCGGCUAACUUCGUGC
rnacentral:rRNA from 1 species